rnacentral:snRNA from 1 species
UUGCUUUGGCAGCACAUAUACUAAAAUUGGAAUGAUACAGAGAAGAUUAGCAUGGCCCCUGAGCAAAGAUGACAUGCAAAUUUGUGAAGCAUUCCAUAUUUUU